rnacentral:tRNA from 1 species
UCCCUGGUUGCCCAGUGGUUAGGACUCAGCACUUUCACUGCCAAGGCCCCAGGAUCAGUCCCUGGUCAGGGAA